CGAUCUCUUCGGAGAUAGUGGCGGACGGGUGAGUAACGCGUGGGAACCUGCCCCGAGGUACGGAAUAACUCAUGGAAACGUGAGCUAAUACCGUAUGUGACCUGAGGGUGAAAGAUUUAUCGCCUUGGGAGGGGCCCGCGUCGGAUUAGGUAGUUGGUGGGGUAACGGCCUACCAAGCCUGCGAUCCGUAGCUGGUCUGAGAGGAUGAUCAGCCACACUGGAACUUAGACACGGUCCAGACUCCUACGGGAGGCAGCAGUGGGGAAUAUUGGACAAUGGGGGCAACCCUGAUCCAGCAAUGCCGCGUGCGUGAUGAAGGCCUUAGGGUUGUAAAGCGCUUUCGGCGGGGAAGAUGAUGACGGUACCCGCAGAAGAAGCCCCGGCUAACUCCGUGCCAGCAGCCGCGGUAAUACGGAGGGGGCUAGCGUUGUUCGGAAUUACUGGGCGUAAAGGGCGCGUAGGCGGCGAUUUAAGUUAGGCGUGAAAGCCCCGGGCUUAACCUGGGAACUGCGCUUGAUACUGGAUUGCUUGAGGACGGGAGAGGGUAGUGGAAUUCCCAGUGUAGAGGUGAAAUUCGUAGAUAUUGGGAAGAACACCAGUGGCGAAGGCGACUGCCUGGCCCGUUACUGACGCUGAGGCGCGAAAGCGUGGGGAGCAAACAGGAUUAGAUACCCUGGUAGUCCACGCCGUACACGAUGAGUGCUAGACGUUGGGGAACAUGGUUUCUCGGUGUCGCAGCUAACGCAUUAAGCACUCCGCCUGGGGAGUACGGCCGCAAGGUUAAAACUCAAAGGAAUUGA
rnacentral:rRNA from 1 species